rnacentral:rRNA from 1 species
AGUGAACGCUGGCGGUAGGCCUAACACAUGCAAGUCGAACGGCAGCACAGUAAGAGCUUGCUCUUACGGGUGGCGAGUGGCGGACGGGUGAGGAAUACAUCGGAAUCUGCUUUUUCGUGGGGGAUAACGUAGGGAAACUUACGCUAAUACCGCAUACGACCUACGGGUGAAAGCAGGGGAUCUUCGGACCUUGCGCGAUUGAAUGAGCCGAUGUUGGAUUAGCUAGUUGGCGGGGUAAAGGCCCACCAAGGCGACGAUCCGUAGCUGGUCUGAGAGGAUGAUCAGCCGCACUGGAGCUGAGACACGGUCCAGACUCCUACGGGAGGCAGCAGUGGGGAAUAUUGGACAAUGGGCGCAAGCCUGAUCCAGCCAUACCGCGUGGGUGAAGAAGGCCUUCGGGUUGUAAAGCCCUUUUGUUGGGAAAGAAAAGCAGCAGGUUAAUACCCCGCUGUUCUGACGGUACCCAAAGAAUAAGCACCGGCUAACUUCGUG